GCGCUGCUUACAUGCAGUCGACGGCAGCGCGGACUUCGGUCUGGCGGCGAGUGGCGAACGGGUGAGUAAUACAUCGGAACGUGCCCUGUUGUGGGGGAUAACUAGUCGAAAGAUUAGCUAAUACCGCAUACGACCUGAGGGUGAAAGCGGGGGACCGUAAGGCCUCGCGCAAUAGGAGCGGCCGAUGUCUGAUUAGCUAGUUGGUGGGGUAAAGGCCCACCAAGGCGACGAUCAGUAGCUGGUCUGAGAGGACGAUCAGCCACACUGGGACUGAGACACGGCCCAGACUCCUACGGGAGGCAGCAGUGGGGAAUUUUGGACAAUGGGGGCAACCCUGAUCCAGCAAUGCCGCGUGUGUGAAGAAGGCCUUCGGGUUGUAAAGCACUUUUGUCCGGAAAGAAAUCGCGUUGGAUAAUACCCGACGUGGAUGACGGUACCGGAAGAAUAAGCACCGGCUAACUACGUGCCAGCAGCCGCGGUAAUACGUAGGGUGCGAGCGUUAAUCGGAAUUACUGGGCGUAAAGCGUGCGCAGGCGGUUUUGUAAGACAGGCGUGAAAUCCCCGGGCUCAACCUGGGAAUUGCGCUUGUGACUGCAAGGCUAGAGUGCGUCAGAGGGGGGUAGAAUUCCACGUGUAGCAGUGAAAUGCGUAGAGAUGUGGAGGAAUACCGAUGGCGAAGGCAGCCCCCUGGGACGUGACUGACGCUCAUGCACGAAAGCGUGGGGAGCAAAUAGGAUUAGAUACCCUGGUAGUCCACGCCCUAAACGAUGUCAACUAGUUGUUGGGGAUUCAUUUCCUCAGUAACGUAGCUAACGCGUGAAGUUGACCGCCUGGGGAGUACGGUCGCAAG
rnacentral:rRNA from 1 species